AUUGAACGCUGGCGGCAUGCCUUACACAUGCAAGUCGAACGGCAGCACGGGUGCUUGCACCUGGUGGCGAGUGGCGAACGGGUGAGUAAUACAUCGGAACAUGUCCUGUAGUGGGGGAUAGCCCGGCGAAAGCCGGAUUAAUACCGCAUACGAUCUACGGAUGAAAGCGGGGGACCUUCGGGCCUCGCGCUAUAGGGUUGGCCGAUGGCUGAUUAGCUAGUUGGUGGGGUAAAGGCCUACCAAGGCGACGAUCAGCGGCUGGUCUGAGAGGACGACCAGCCACACUGGGACUGAGACACGGCCCAGACUCCUACGGGAGGCAGCAGUGGGGAAUUUUGGACAAUGGGCGAAAGCCUGAUCCAGCAAUGCCGCGUGUGUGAAGAAGGCCUUCGGGUUGUAAAGCACUUUUGUCCGGAAAGAAAUCCUUGGCCCUAAUACGGUCGGGGGAUGACGGUACCGGAAGAAUAAGCACCGGCUAACUACGUG
rnacentral:rRNA from 1 species